UCUGUUAUUUUGCGCCAUGAUUUCUUAUCGUAAUGCUAGGGAACAGUAUUACACUUGAGUAGUCGCAGGUAGAUUCGUUGUUUGAUCGUAGUUGUCGUUUGAUACCUUACCUCAAGCUUAAACAUCGUAAUUUAAUGCACUUUACGCGUAAUAUGUCUAUAGCCUUCUGGCUCUUGUCGGAGAACCGGAGAUUCUCCGGAUCCCAGCGGAGCUCCAGUCGCUCUAAAUUUGGACAAUUGUUGGCAAUUCCGUCCAUCAGCUGAUCCACGUGAAUAUUCACGCCCAAUCUUUCCUGUGUUCCCAUCACGAGAAUUCUAGAAACAAACGAGACACACGAAUUUCAAAGGUAACGUCGUAAAAGCUAACUAAAAGAGAGACUAAACUAAACUUUAAA